rnacentral:rRNA from 1 species
GAGUUUGAUCCUGACUCAGAAUGAACGCUGGCGGCGUGCCUAACACAUGCAAGUCGGAUGUGCCGCAAGGUGCAUGGCAGACGGGUGAGUAACGCGUCGGGAACCUACCUCUUUGUGGGGAAUAACGCUCCGAAAGGAGUGGUAAUACCGCAUGAGACCGUGAGCUGGGAUGUUCAUGGUGAAACCUGGGGACCGGUAACGGCCUGGGGCAAGGAGAGGGUCCUGCGUCUGAUUAGCUAGUUGGCGGGGUAAUGGCCCACCAAGGCGACGAUCAGUAGCCGGCCUGAGAGGGUGAUCGGCCACACUGGAACUGAGACACGGUCCAGACUCCUACGGGAGGCAGCAGUGGGGAAUUUUGCGCAAUGGGCGAAAGCCUGACGCAGCAACGCCGCGUGGGUGAUGAAGGUCUUCGGACUGUAAAACCCUGUCGUCAGGGACGAAGGUGCGCAUGUUAACAGCAUGUGUGCUUGACGGUACCUGGAGAGGAAGCCCCGGCUAACUCUGUGCCAGCAGCCGCGGUAAUACAGAGGGGGCAAGCGUUAUUCGGAAUUAUUGGGCGUAAAGGGCGCGUAGGCGGUUUUUUAAGUCAGAUGUGUAAUCCCCGAGCUCA